UACGUAGGGUGCGAGCGUUAAUCGGAAUUACUGGGCGUAAAGCGUGCGCAGGCGGUUUUGUAAGCCAGGUGUGAAAUCCCCGGGCUCAACCUGGGAAUGGCAUUUGGGACUGCAAGGCUGGAGUGCGGCAGAGGAGACUGGAAUUCCUGGUGUAGCAGUGAAAUGCGUAGAUAUCAGGAGGAACACCGAUGGCGAAGGCAGGUCUCUGGGCUGACACUGACGCUCAUGCACGAAA
rnacentral:rRNA from 1 species